AGAGUUUGAUCCUGGCUCAGAAUCAACGCUGGCGGCGUGCCUAACACAUGCAAGUCGAGCGAGAAAGGGGAGCAAUCCCUGAGUAAAGCGGCGCACGGGUGAGUAACACGUGACUAACCUACCCUUGAGUGGGGAAUAACUGAGGGAAACCUUAGCUAAUACCGCAUAAUACCCACGGGUCAAAGGAGUAAUCCGCUUGA
rnacentral:rRNA from 1 species